rnacentral:rRNA from 1 species
UACGUAGGGUGCGAGCGUUGUCCGGAAUUACUGGGCGUAAAGAGCUCGUAGGUGGUUUGUCGCGUUGUCCGUGAAAACUCACAACUCAAUUGUGGGCGUGCGGGCGAUACGGGCAGACUGGAGUACUGCAGGGGAGACUGGAAUUCCUGGUGUAGCGGUGGAAUGCGCAGAUAUCAGGAGGAACACCGGUGGCGAAGGCGGGUCUCUGGGCCACUACUGACGCUGAGAAGCGAAAGCAUGGGGAGCGAACAGG